rnacentral:rRNA from 1 species
AUUGAACGCUGGCGGCAGGCCUAACACAUGCAAGUCGAGCGGAUGAAGGGAGCUUGCUCCUGGAUUCAGCGGCGGACGGGUGAGUAAUGCCUAGGAAUCUGCCUGGUAGUGGGGGAUAACGUCCGGAAACGGGCGCUAAUACCGCAUACGUCCUGAGGGAGAAAGGGGGGGAUCUUCGGACCUCACGCUAUCAGAUGAACCUAGGUCGGAUUAGCUAGUUGGUGGGGUAAAGGCCUACCAAGGCGACGAUCCGUAACUGGUCUGAGAGGAUGAUCAGUCACACUGGAACUGAGACACGGUCCAGACUCCUACGGGAGGCAGCAGUGGGGAAUAUUGGACAAUGGGCGAAAGCCUGAUCCAGCCAUGCCGCGUGUGUGAAGAAGGUCUUCGGAUUGUAAAGCACUUUAAGUUGGGAGGAAGGGCAGUAAGUUAAUACCUUGCUGUUUUGACGUUACCAACAGAAUAAGCACCGGCUAACUUCGUG